rnacentral:ncRNA from 1 species
AAAAAGUUUGAUUCUUGCUUCUUAAUUUUGCUUUAUUAACAGUUUAUAUGCAUUAAUUAAAUUUUAAUGUUGCAGUAUUUGGUAUUAUUAAUUUUAACAAAAUAUAGUGAUUGGUCGGUUAGGCUGUUAAAUGUUGUGCCAGCAAACGCGGUUAUACGGUAGGCUUUGUGAAGUUUUUUUGGGGUUUUGUUUUGGUUAUUUAUUUUUAGCUUUUAGUACAAAUUGUUGGGGUGAAAUCUACUUUUGUUUUUGUUUAGUCAAUUUUAGGUUUGUUUAGGCUAUGAAAAUUUUAUUUUAAACCAGGAUUAGAUACCCUGUUAUUAAAUUUAUAACUUGUUCUUCUGGUAGUAGUAGUGUUCUUGAAACUAAAAGGAUUUGGCUGUUUUGUUAUUUUGUCUAGAGGAGCCUGUCUAUUAAACGAUAAUCCAUGAUUGUUUUAACUUUUAAGUUUGCUUGUAUAUCGCUGUCUUAAGUGGCUUUAAAUAGUUGGUUAUAGAGAAUUUGUUUCUUUUUUGUCAAGUCAAGGUGCAGCUGUUUAAGGGGUUUAAGGUGGGCUACAUUUAUUGGUAUCAGUGGAUUCUUUUAUGGGGUGAAACAGGAUUUAGUUGUAAAAAAUAGGCAUUUAUUUUUUGAAUUAAUAUUUACAAGAGGCACACAUCGCCCGUCACUCUCAGGCUUGUUUAUGUUUUUGAGAAAAGUCGUAACAAAGUAGGGGUACUGGAAGGUGCACCUUUAGCUUA